UCACAAUUACAUAAUAUAAAAGUAUCAUAGAUCAUUUCAAACUUGUUCAUCUAGCUAGCUUUUAAUUCCGUUCUCAUAAUUAUAUUUAUAUUUCAUUUAUUAAUACGAAUAAUAUGUAGAGGUGGAACAUACCAUCAAAAAAUAGUACAUUCACUAUAUUUAUGUAUUUAAUGGAACUAUUAAGGCACAUAUUAAGUAAUAUUAGUUACUCGAGUGUUCAUGCCAUAACUAUUACUUAAGUCAUAUUGGUAUACCAUUUUUUUAUAAUGAUUUGCUUUGCAUGGAAUAUUGAAUCGAAUAAAAGCUUAUACUUUUUGGGUGAAUUGAUAGUAUUCACGUCGAUAUUUUGAAAUAAACAAAGAUGUAGUAGUAGUGUAUUUUCAUUUCAGCUGUUUUCAUUAAUUCUCAAUAGAAAACCUAUGUAUUUCUAUGUAACCUAUUUAAUAACUGGAUACUCGAUAGGCAAAGAAAAUGAGUGUCAACCGUCAGUUGUUAUUUUAUGUUAUAUCAAUGUAAUAAAAACACAGGAGUUGUAGUAUUUAUGUAGUAUUCAAGUAUCAACAGCUGAAAGACGAAUUGCUCUUUUUCUUCUUUUUAUAUUUUAACGAGGACCCACUCGAUCAAUAAUAAUUAAUAACUGAAUAAUGUAUUGGUGAACAGAAACUUUUUUUCUUCGCUAGAGAAGAUGUUCAUUAGAAGUCUGGAAGACGGAAUAAACUUAAAUACAUAAAAUUUUUAUAAUAUGGAAUUUUGUUAACCCAAUAAUUUGUUUCUUCUAGUUCAAAGAUUAUGACGUUUGUACUUUUUUCAUAUAUAAUUAAUGUAAAAGUAUAUAUUUUAUAUUAGAAUAUGGAGUCGAAGUCAAGUCUCGAGUCCAAGUUCCACCCCUGAAAAUAAUUGGGCAUUGUAUUUUAAAUGAUACAUUUAUUAUUAUAAUAACAAUAAAUUAAUCAUAAAUAUAAAAAUGU
rnacentral:lncRNA from 1 species